rnacentral:lncRNA from 1 species
UGGAAUUAUCAUUAGGGACCACUCCUUAAGUGGGACACAUGUUGUAUUGUGAAUGAUCAAAAGAUUUGGGUGGACCCAUUCAAUACAAACCACUCACCAACACUCUCCAGGGGCGGGGGUAACAAAAAGAAACGAAAAGAUCCUCUUCUCCCUCCACUGACCCUCCAACCAAAUCUCUCUCUCAGCUGGUGAAAAGAAAAGGUUAAAAACAAAAAGAAAAGUAAAAAGAGGAGACUAUACAUUACCUCCCUCACCCACUCAAAAAAACGGAUACUCUCUCACCUAUUAAACAAAAAAAUAAAAAGAAGAAACUUCUUCUGGAAAAGGAACGAAAAAUUAAAAGAGGUUCAUCAACCCUUCC